GCCUACGAUAUCAUUGCUCAGUUCUCGUAAGUUUUUCUUUCUUGAAAGUUUUUCUUUCUUGAAACAUAAAAGAAUCCACAAUUUUGGAAGAACAAAAACGACACAACGAAAUAAAAAAAUCUGAGUCAAACAAUGAUCACCGCAAAAGGUUAUGAAUAGUGAACGACGAUUCUGUCGCCGUGGUGGAGGAAGGCGGUGAACGAGGCAGCCUAGAGGAGAAAUUGUAACGUGGAAAACGAUUAACAUUUUGAUCCUCUUCUCCCCUGUCAAAGUUAAGCGCAUAGCUCGACGGAUCAUAAUGAAAAUCAGUCGUGUGGCGUCUAAUGUGCUUACCGUGUCCGCCUUCCCCGAUCCGGUGGAUCAGAUUUUUGCAUUUUUCGUGUGAUUUGGACAAGGUUCGAGUGAGUCUAGGAGAUUUGGUCUUGAAUUAAUUGCUUUUGGGAAAUAAAUUAAUUGUUAGAAUUUUUUAAAAAAUAUUCAUUUGUAUUUGAAAUUAAAAAAAAAUAUUAAAAUAUAUCCAAUAUAUUAAAUUAGACUCAUAUUUUGGACUUCAUAUAUUAUAUUAUAAUUUUGAACUAUCAAACACGAGUUCAUCUAAAUCAUCUAAAUUUUAUUAUAAAAAAAUAUUUAUAAAAGAUCUCAAACCAUUUAAAACUGGAUGGAAAAUUAAGAUUAGGAUUAGUAGUUCAAGAUGAAUAAUUUAGAGUUAGAGUUGGUAUCGACUUCUGGCUGACAUUUCAUAUACGAGGACUUAUAUUCGGUUUUCAGAUCCCAAUGACAACUUACGGUACUUCUAGAAAAUAGAAAAGACGAACUCAAACAAUCUAUAGAACAAAAUAAAUGUUUAAAAUAAAAUUUAGCCACGCAUGACACUGAUUCUAUUCUAGUUUCCUUGUUGAAUGAGAUAUUCAGAUUUUAUGUUUGUUUUCUACUUUCACUAACCUCACUUGAGCAUAACUAAGCAUUCAUUGCAUUGCUCACAUAUAGUAAUCCUCCACAAUCAUGCUUGUACUCUCAACCAUUAUUAUUUAAUCCUACUCAAGUUUUUCAUCAGCUGGUAGCUUAAGAUUAAGAGCUUAUGGGGGUUCUGACUUGUUCUCUGGAAUUAACCUUCUAGUGGAAGACGCAUGGUUGUAAAUUUGAAAUAAUCUAUCUUCAAAGAAUGUAAUUGUCUUUUUACAAAAAAAAAAAGAAUGUAAUUGUCAUAUGUAACAACUUUAGUGAAGAAAAAAACAACUUUAGUGAAGAAAAAAAAUAUAGUGAAUAUCCAGCCAUAUACGCAUUUUUAAAACUACUUAUAAAUAUAGAAAAUACUUGAGAUUAUCCAUAAAUAAAGUAAGUUUGUUUUUCUUUUUUGCUAAAUGAUAAAUAAAGUAAGUUACAAAAAAAAGAAUGUAAUUGUCAAAAAAGUGGGACGAAAACCACCAACGGGAAAUGACUGUUUGCGGUUUGAGUAAUCGUGUUCAGGGUCUUUCUGUACAGUUUCUGCGUUUUCAAAGAAGCCAAAGAACAGUAGAGCUUGGGAACAAAAAAAAUCGUUGCUAUGUGGGCAACGGAAAGUAAAGGAACACAUGUUCCCUUAUUACAAAGUUUGAGUUGCGGAGCUGAUUAGAACAUGUUGCUAACCGGAGCAGGUCUCCUGUUCAAAACAGACUACGAACGUACACGUACUGAUAAGCCGCGUGAAGUUCUCCAUACCAUUAGAUUAUGAGUUAUUACUACAAAGACGUUUUUACUCAAGUUACAUAAGAGAGAGAUAAGAUAUCAAUCAAAAGUUUUUGAAACCCGCUGAAACUGAUAAAAAUAAAAUACGUUAUGUACAAAUUUGUUUUUCUUAGGCCUACGAUAUCAUUGCUCAGUUCUCGUAAGUUUUUCUUUCUUGAAAGUUUUUCUUUCUUGAAACAUAAAAGAAUCCACAAUUUUGGAAGAACAAAAACGACACAACGAAAUAAAAAAAUCUGAGUCAAACAAUGAUCACCGCAAAAGGUUAUGAAUAGUGAACGACGAUUCUGUCGCCGUGGUGGAGGAAGGCGGUGAACGAGGCAGCCUAGAGGAGAAAUUGUAACGUGGAAAACGAUUAACAUUUUGAUCCUCUUCUCCCCUGUC
rnacentral:lncRNA from 1 species